rnacentral:tRNA from 1 species
GGGGUAUUAGUUUAAUGGUAAAACAUAAUGCUACGGACAUUAAGAUUCUAGUUCAAAUCUAUAAUACCUCU